rnacentral:rRNA from 1 species
AUUGAACGCUGGCGGCAGGCCUAACACAUGCAAGUCGAACGGUAACAGGAAGAAGCUUGCUUCUUUGCUGACGAGUGGCGGACGGAUGAGUAAUGUCUGGGAAACUGCCUGAUGGAGGGGGAUAACUACUGGAAACGGUCGCUAAUACCGCAUAACGUCGCAAGACCAAAAAGGGGGACCUUCGGGCCUCUUGCCAUCGGAUGUGCCCAGAUGGGAUUAGCUAGUAGGUGGGGUAACGGCUCACCUAGGCGACGAUCCCUAGCUGGUCUGAGAGGAUGACCAGCCACACUGGAACUGAGACACGGUCCAGACUCCUACGGGAGGCAGCAGUGGGGAAUAUUGCACAAUGGGCGCAAGCCUGAUGCAGCCAUGCCGCGUGUAUGAAGAAGGCCUUCGGGUUGUAAAGUACUUUCAGCGGGGAGGAAGGGAGUAAAGUUAAUACCUUGGCUCAUUGACGUUACCCGCAGAAGAAGCACCGGCUAACUCCGUG